CUUGCGGUCAUAUCACGCUGAGACACCGGUUCUCGUACGAUCACCGAAGUUAAGCAUCGUAGAGCCAGGUCAGUACUUAGAUGGGGGACU